rnacentral:rRNA from 1 species
UACGUAGGGUGCGAGCGUUAAUCGGAAUUACUGGGCGUAAAGCGUGCGCAGGCGGUGGUCUAAGACAGAUGUGAAAUCCCCGGGCUUAACCUGGGAACUGCGUUUGUGACUGGAUCACUAGAGUGUGGCAGAGGGGGGUGGAAUUCCACGUGUAGCAGUGAAAUGCGUAGAGAUGUGGAGGAACACCGAUGGCGAAGGCAGCCCCCUGGGUCAACACUGACGCUCAUGCACGAAAGCGUGGGGAGCAAACAGG